GGUCUGAUUCAUUGUUUUUUUCCUGAUGAACAUUGAAAAAAUAGUGAAGGCACUGUAUGGGAGUAUACCUUCCUGACAAUGCUACUUUUCCACUGAAGACCAAGGUCAACUUUCCAGACUUCUCACAAUCUCUCAGAAACAAUAACCUCUUGAGAUAUUGUGGGAGGAACUUGGAUGUUGUCAGUGCUGAAUGUCACUGAAUGUGCUAAGGUAAACAUUGGUCAGAGGGCCCCUUCAGUCUACUGGAUGUUGCUUUUCUUGUAUAAUGAAUUUGAAAAUGGAAAAGGUUGUGGAGAUGCUGUGAAGAACUAAUGAGGGACAGACAGGUCUUAGACUUAAGCUUGGACUGUGUGUGAAGAUACAGACAGUACAUCCUCUGUUCUGUACCAUAAAGCUGGGGUAUCUGUACAUACUACUGUGGCAAGCAGCCAAAAAUGCAAUCUUUCUCAUAUGUGAUGACCUAGUUGGAUCUACAGUAUAAGUCAGCAUGAAUAGGAG